CCUACGGGCGGCAGCAGUGGGGAAUAUUGGACAAUGGGGGGAACCCUGAUCCAGCCAUGCCGCGUGUGUGAAGAAGGCCCUCGGGUUGUAAAGCACUUUCAGUGAGGAAGAACGCCUGGUGGUUAAUACCCAUCAGGAAAGACAUCACUCACAGAAGAAGCACCGGCUAACUCCGUGCCAGCAGCCGCGGUAAUACGGAGGGUGCGAGCGUUAAUCGGAAUUACUGGGCGUAAAGCGCGCGUAGGUGGCUUGAUAAGCCGGUUGUGAAAGCCCCGGGCUCAACCUGGGAACGGCAUCCGGAACUGUCAAGCUAGAGUGCAGGAGAGGAAGGUAGAAUUCCCGGUGUAGCGGUGAAAUGCGUAGAGAUCGGGAGGAAUACCAGUGGCGAAGGGGGCCUUCUGGACUGACACUGACACUGAGGUGCGAAAGCGUGGGUAGCAAACAGGAUUAGAUACCCUAGUAGUC
rnacentral:rRNA from 1 species